GGCGAACGGGUGAGUAAUGCAUCGGAACGUGCCCAGUCGUGGGGGAUAACGCAGCGAAAGCUGUGCUAAUACCGCAUACGAUCUAUGGAUGAAAGCGGGGGACCUUCGGGCCUCGCGCGAUUGGAGCGGCCGAUGUUAGAUUAGGUAGUUGGUGGGGUAAAGGCUCACCAAGCCAACGAUCUAUAGCUGGUCUGAGAGGACGACCAGCCACACUGGAACUGAGACACGGUCCAGACUCCUACGGGAGGCAGCAGUGGGGAAUUUUGGACAAUGGGCGAAAGCCUGAUCCAGCAAUACCGCGUGCAGGAAGAAGGCCCUCGGGUUGUAAACUGCUUUUGUACGGAACGAAACGGCGCGCUCUAAUAAAGUGCGCUAAUGACGGUACCGUAAGAAUAAGCACCGGCUAACUACGUGCCAGCAGCCGCGGUAAUACGUAGGGUGCGAGCGUUAAUCGGAAUUACUGGGCGUAAAGCGUGC
rnacentral:rRNA from 1 species